rfam:Phytophthora ramorum strain Pr102 Scaffold17 genomic scaffold, whole genome shotgun sequence.
GGACGCGUGGCUCAAAUGGCGAGAGCACCGCGUUUUAUGCGGACGGACGCGGGUUCGAUUCCCGCCGUGUUCA